rnacentral:pre_miRNA from 1 species
GUACUACUCCCUCCGUUCGGAAUUACUUGUCGCAGAAAUGGAUGUAUCUAGACAUAUUUUAGUUCUAGAUACAUCCAUUUCCGAGACAAGUAAUUCCGAACGGAGGGAGUAUGUG